UGGGGAAUCUUGGACAAUGGGGGCAACCCUGAUCCAGCAAUGCCGCGUGGGUGAAGAAGGCCUUCGGGUUGUAAAGCCCUUUCGGCAGGGAAGAAAUCGGCGGGGCGAAUAACCCCUGCUGGAUGACGGUACCUGCAGAAGAAGCACCGGCUAACUACGUGCCAGCAGCCGCGGUAAUACGUAGGGUGCGAGCGUUAAUCGGAUUUACUGGGCGUAAAGCGUGCGCAGGCGGCCCGUUAAGACAGGUGUGAAAUCCCUGGGCUCAACCUAGGAAUUGCGCUUGUGACUGGCGGGCUCGAGUACGGUAGAGGGGGGUGGAAUUCCUGGUGUAGCAGUGAAAUGCGUAGAGAUCGGAGGAACACCGAUGGCGAAGGCAGCCCCCCUGGGCCUGUACUGACGCUCAUGC
rnacentral:rRNA from 1 species